GCGGGCAUCGUAUAAUGGUAUUAUCUCAGAUUUCCAAUUUGAUGAUGGGGGUUCGAUUCCCUCUGCCCGCUCCA
rnacentral:tRNA from 1 species